UGACCGCACUCCACUCCUUGUGGUCAGCUUCUGAAAUUAAAGGAGGAAAUUCCGCGUUACCUGCGGUGCGGCAGUGUGGAGACCUGUCGUAAAGCAGUCCGAUGGAUUAUAUCGGCUGCGAGACUGCUGCUUGCGGAGGCACAGCAGUUAAGGUAAGUACUUAUGGCA
rnacentral:ncRNA from 1 species